AAACGGUCAUGAGAGACUUUUAUCGGGGUCGGAUAGAAACUGUUGGAAGUAAAACUAACAUUGGAUUAAAAUCUGUCGUCAGCCAAAAACGACUGUCGGAGAAGAAAACAGCCAUCGGGAAAAGUGUUCAAUCCACUGCUCAUCUCCGUCGAAGAUCUGGUGGAAAUUUAUAUCGCUCAUCUCCAAAAGCAUCUAUUGUCUGCCUUCGAUAAACAACUUCGUCAUCAUCGUUAGUUGUCCGACCAUCCUCUUUUUCAUUCUACCAUCUUCUGUCCUGACAAGAUACCGAAGUUCUUCCUUCCUCUGCUAC
rnacentral:lncRNA from 1 species